rnacentral:tRNA from 1 species
AACGGCGUAUUUUAAUAAAAAUAUCACUUUGCAAAUGUGAAGUUACUUCUUAGAGGUCACCGUUU